rnacentral:rRNA from 1 species
UACAGAGGGGGCAAGCGUUGUUCGGAAUUACUGGGCGUAAAGGGCGCGUAGGCGGCCUGCUAAGUCGAACGUGAAAUCCCCGGGCUCAACCCGGGAACUGCGUCCGAUACUGGCAGGCUUGAAUCCGGGAGAGGGAUGCGGAAUUCCAGGUGUAGCGGUGAAAUGCGUAGAUAUCUGGAGGAACACCGGUGGCGAAGGCGGCGUUCUGGACUGCAACUGACACUGAGGAACGAAAGCCAGGGGAGCAAACGGG